rnacentral:lncRNA from 1 species
CUACAUCAGGGAAACUUCAACUCCUUACAAGACAAAUCAUGUAUUAGUUGUGUUUAAUGUAGAGGAGGAAGCGGUAGAGAGAGAUGAUACCAUGCCACAUGCACAAAACUUUUAACUUAAUUGACUUCCAUUUCUUGUUUGUUUCUUUUUUUUAACAUAAAUUCAGGUUAGGUUAUACCUAUUCUCUUCGAUAUAUGCCAACAUAGACAUGUGCCCCAUAAAAAACCAAAGUUCCUUUAACAUAUGGCUUUAUCUUUCUUAUGGAAUUGAAAUUUAUGAAUUUUUAUAGUGUGUUUCUCUUUAGGUAACUUUUUGCAUCAUAAUAGAAUAUAUUUUAUGCUUUAAUUAUUUCCCUCUCAAAUCUUGGAUGAUUCUAGCAAUGUCCAAGGAUACAAUUGGCGGAGUUUCUUUUGUUUUAAAAAACAUGAUAAACAAGUACAGAAUGUGCGCAAGCAGGAAGAAACUGACCUAAAGGUAAAUUUUCAUUAUGUGAAAUUUGUCAUAAAGAUUUAUGUGCUUAUCUCCAUUUUAAUUACUAGGGAGUAAGCUUUUAAAAUAAUCUCUAAGACCCUUUCGCAGUUUUCACUGUCAAGGGUUAUAUUAACAUAGGCCAAUCUAAGCUUUUAAAUAUUGUCUCUCUUGAUCUCUAGCUAUUUGAUGACGCCUCUGCUUCUUUUAUACCCCAAAGCUGCUGGUGUCUGACUGGACAGAAACUCAAGUUGGCCAUUGGUUAAAGAGUAUUGGAAUGAAAAAAUAUAUCCUGAAAUUUGAUUAUAAAAGAGUAAACAGUCAAGAACUUCUUGAAUUAGACAAUGAUGCAUUAAAAAUCGAAUAUUUUCUUGUUCAAGAAGCUUGUUGAUAGCUUUUAAUCUUCUCUGUGAAAAAAUGAUGCAAAGAAGAGUCCAGAACCUCGAUUUAUUUUCUUGUCAAAUAGACAAAGGGGACAACGAACUGGGGCUUUGUACUUGUAUCUUCUUUGAUCCAGCAGAUGAGGAUGGAAAGGAACCAGGGGUUUUUAUAACUGAAAUUAUUGAAGGAGGUGCAGUUCACAAACUUGGAUGUAUCCGUGUAUUUGACCAGAUUAUUAAAAUAGGUGACAUCAAUCUAAUUGGAUUGGAUGAAGCAGAAAUCAUCUCUACUUUUAAAAAAAUGGACGAUUCUCCUUUCCAGAUUGAAAUUGGCCGCGAACCACCUGAAGUGAAGUCAGAACUUAUCGAACUCCUCGAGUUGUCAGAGGAAAGGAAGAAAUAUUUUAUGGAUUCGCUCAUAGUACAGGAAAAAAUUAGAGAUAUCACUAUUGUGAGAGGACAAGCAAGUAUUUGUAGAAGUCCAAGAGUACCAUGGUACUGGAUGGCCAGUGACCUGAAAUUUGUUAUUGGGGCACUGAAAAUAUUAAUAGAAGAAGAUCAGGGAUGUAGAAAAAACAUCCAAGCUAUCUUUGAGCAGGCUAACAUUUUUCAAGACAAAUAUAAAGACAUGAACACAUACAAAGUGAAUAUGGAACAGAAACCUGAUGAAUCAAAUAAAGAAGGCACAUUUUUACCAUUGGCCCCAGAAGAAGAAUUAUUACUAGAACAAUUUAAAAUAAAACCUAAAGAGAUAAAAAAUGAAGAUUUAUCACCAGGGCAAUUAUUAGCCCAAGGGGAUUUCAAUUCAGAGACUCCAAUAAAAAAAGAAAAAGAAGAAGAUGAAAUAGUAGUGGAGGAAGAGAUUAUUAGCACUGGAAAACCUACAGAGGGAAAGGCUAAAAAGAGAUUUUCCUGGUUCCACAAUAUCAAAGAAUGCAAGCUGUGGAACUUCUUUCAUUUUAAAAAACAUGACAAACAAGUAAAGAAUGUGCACAAGUGGGAAGAAAUUGAUCAAGAGGUAUUGGAUGAUUACUGUCCUUAUUCUACUGAAGCCCCUAAAACAUUGCCAACAGAGUGGACAAAUAUUGAAGUUGGUAAUUGGUUAUGGAGCAUUGGAAUGGAGGAGUAUGUUGUAAAAUUUUAUUGUAAAGGAAUAAAUGGUGAAAAACUCCUUACACUGGACAAUCGCUCUCUAAAAGAAAUCGAAGUCAACAGGAAGAAAGACCGCCGGAAAAUACUUAAGGCUAUUAAGAAAGUUAGAGAUUUUUGGGAAAAAAAUCAUCAUUUCGUCUUACUAUAG